UACGUAGGCAGCGAGCGUUGUUCGGAGUUACUGGCGUAAAGCGUGCGUAGGCGGUGUCUUAAGUUUGUUGUGAAAUCUCCCCGGCUUAACCGGGAGGGUGCGGCGAAUACUGAGAUGCUGGAGUGCCGGAGAGGUAAGCGGAAUUCCUGGUGUAGCGGUGAAAUGCGUAGAUAUCAGGAGGAACACCUGCGGUGUAGACGGCUUACUGGACGGUAACUGACGCUGAGGCA
rnacentral:rRNA from 1 species